GCCCUCUCAGGGUUGCAUCUGGAGACUUUCCAGUACUCUACCAGUCUCGACUAUGGGAGGGAGAGUCAUGCAGAGGCCUACCCAUUCUAUUCCUAGUUUGGACUGUGGCUAGUAAGUGGUAAGCAAUCUGCCACAAGU